rnacentral:lncRNA from 1 species
AUGUUUUGAAUUUAUUUCAAACUUGCCUAAAUUAUAAACCAUAACCAAACUAACCCCAAAUGGACUGAGAUUUGAGUGGUGACCCUAUACAAUGUAUAUUAUUGGGCUCAACAGAAACAUUUAUUUGAGCACUUCAAUCUACAACUCAAAUAAAUGAAAGCAAAGGGAAAAGGAAAGGAUCAAGGAGUGGCUAGGAGAAGAGGGGAAAACAAAUGAACACAACAAG